GCUGGGCAUGGUGGCACAUGCCUGUAAUCCCAGCAGCUAGGGAGGCUGAGACAGGAGGAUAGUGAGUUCAAAGCCAGCCUCAGCAAAAGCAAGGUGCUAAGCAACUCAGUGAGACCCUGUCUCUA
rnacentral:sRNA from 1 species